rnacentral:misc_RNA from 1 species
UUUAAUUUUUUAUUGAGUACUUUGAUUGAGUAUUAAUUGACACUUGUCAGCAUUAGACGUGGAAAAAUAACAGAUAUCAAUACCUGUUAUAAAAUAACAACCUGUUAUUUAAGUUUAUGCGGAUAACGAAUUUUGUUCUUGUAAAUUGUAAACUAAACAAUUCCCUUCAUCAACCGACUUCCAAAAAAGGAGGAAGUUCUAAAUUCGAGUGUAUUUUUUUUAACGUAUUAUCUCAGAACUUUUCACUGGGUAGACCGAUUCCGAUGUUUCACUCACUUUUUUAUUAAAAGACAUUUUUAUGCCUAAAUAGGUAAAAAUUGUAUACCUAAACCUAAGUCCUAACAAAUAAUAAGAAAACAAACUAACUAUACACUAUUUUUAAUCGAAAUCUAAACUA